GACUCGUCACACUAUCAUUAACUGAAUCCAUAGGUUAAUGAGGCGAACCGGGGGAACUGAAACAUCUAAGUACCCCGAGGAAAAGAAAUCAACCGAGAUUCCCCCAGUAGCGGCGAGCGAACGGGGAGGAGCCCAGAGCCUGAAUCAGCAUGUGUGUUAGUGGAAGCGUCUGGAAAGGCGCGCGAUACAGGGUGACAGCCCCGUACACAAAAGCGCAUGUGCUGUGAGCUCGAUGAGUAGGGCGGGACACGUGGUAUCCUGUCUGAAUAUGGGGGGACCAUCCUCCAAGGCUAAAUACUCCUGACUGACCGAUAGUGAACCAGUACCGUGAGGGAAAGGCGAAAAGAACCCCGGCGAGGGGAGUGAAAAAGAACCUGAAACCGUGUACGUACAAGCAGUGGGAGCACCCUUUGGGGUGUGACUGCGUACCUUUUGUAUAAUGGGUCAGCGACUUAUAUUCUGUAGCAAGGUUAACCGUAUAGGGGAGCCGGAGGGAAACCGAGUCUUAAC
rnacentral:rRNA from 4 species